AGAGUUUGAUCCUGGCUCAGAAUCAACGCUGGCGGCGUGCCUAACACAUGCAAGUCGAACGCGAAAGGGGCUUCGGCCCUGAGUAGAGUGGCGAACGGGUGAGUAACACGUGGGUGACCUACCUUCGAGUGGGGGAUAACGUCCCGAAAGGGACGCUAAUACCGCAUAACAUCCUGCUUUUGAACAGGUGGAGAUCAAAGCUGGGGAUCGCAAGACCCGGCGCUUGAAGAGGGGCCCGCGUCCGAUUAGCUAGUUGGUGAGGUAAUGGCUCACCAAGGCGACGAUCGGUAACCGGCCUGAGAGGGCGGACGGUCACACUGGGACUGAGACACGGCCCAGACUCCUACGGGAGGCAGCAGUGGGGAAUUGUUCACAAUGGGCGCAAGCCUGAUGACGCAACGCCGCGUGGAGGAUGAAGGUCUUCGGAUUGUAAACUCCUGUUGCCCGGGACGAAAAGCUUCGACCUAAUACGUCGAAGUCUGACGGUACCGGGUGAGGAAGCCCCGGCUAACUCUGUGCCAGCAGCCGCGGUAAUACAGAGGGGGCAAGCGUUGUUCGGAAUUACUGGGCGUAAAGGGCGCGUAGGCGGCCUUCUAAGUCGAACGUGAAAUCCCUGGGCUCAACCCAGGAACUGCGUCCGAUACUGGUUGGCUUGAAUCCGGGAGAGGGAUGCGGAAUUCCAGGUGUAGCGGUGAAAUGCGUAGAUAUCUGGAGGAACACCGGUGGCGAAGGCGGCAUCCUGGACCGGCAUUGACGCUGAGGCGCGAAAGCCAGGGGAGCAAACGGGAUUAGAUACCCCG
rnacentral:rRNA from 1 species